rnacentral:rRNA from 1 species
GGAAUACGGUUGGGGAAGACAGAAUUCCUGGUGUAGCGGUGGAAUGCGCAGAGAUCAGGAGGAAUACCAAAAGCGAAGGCAGUCUUCUAAGCCGUUAUUGACGCUAAACUGCGAAGGUGUGGGUAUCAAACAGGAUUAGAUACCCUGGUAGUCCACACAGUAGACGAUAAUCACUAGGUGUCGGGUUCGAAGAGGAUUCGGUGCCGCAGCUAACGCGUUAAGUGAUUCGCCUGGGGAGUACGAUCGCAAGGUUGAAACUCAAAGGAAUUGACGGGAACCCGCACAAGCGGUGGAGUAUGUUGUUUAAUUCGAAGAUACACGAAGAACCUUACCAGGUCUUGACAUACCAUUGACAGGUCUAGAGAUAGACCCUCCUUCGGGCAAUGGAUACAGGUGGUGCAUGGUUGUCGUCAGCUCGUGCCGUGAGGUGUUGGGUUAAGUCCCGCAACGAGCGCAACCCUCAUUGUUAGUUACUACCAUUCAGUUGAGGACUCUAAUGAGACUGCCAACGACAAGUUGGAGGAAGGUGGGGAUGACGUCAAAUCAUCAUGCCCUUUAUGACCUGGGCUACAAACGUACUACAAUGGCCAAUACAAAGAGAUGCGAAGCGGUGACGUGGAGCGAACCUCAGAAAGUUGGUCUCAGUUCAGAUUGAAGUCUGCAACUCGACUUCAUGAAGGCGGAAUCGCUAGUAAUCGCGAGUCAGCAGAUCGCGGUGAAUACGUUCCCGGGUUUUGUACACACCGCCCGUAAGGGCG